rnacentral:rRNA from 1 species
UACGGGGGGAGCAAGCGUUGUUCGGAUUUACUGGGCGUAAAGGGCGGGUAGGCGGCCACCUAAGGUCAGUUGGGAAAUCUCUGGGCUUAACCCAGAAAGGUCAACUGAUACUGUGGGGCUAGAGUGCAGAAGGGGCAACUGGAAUUCUCGGUGUAGCGGUGAAAUGCGUAGAUAUCGAGAGGAACACCUGCGGCGAAGGCGGGUUGCUGGGCUGACACUGACGCUGAACUGCGAAAGCGUGGGGAGCAAACAGG